rnacentral:ncRNA from 1 species
AAAAAGACUAUGAAGAGAAGAGUAGGUAUAGGAAGUAAUUAUAGCGAGUUGGUGGCGGUGGAAGACCAACAUGAAGCCUGUAUUGAAGAACAUCUCUGAGUCCCUAAUCGAAAUACCUUGUGUAGAGUAGGCUUAGGCGGAACCAAACCGUUAUCUAUUGGACAGUAUCGAAUUUUUUUCCGUACUGAUAAGAGAGCUAGAGUAUUUAGCUAACCAAGGUGGUACCGCGGAGACAAUUAUGUCCUUCGUCCUUAUA